CAAUAGCGUAUAUUAAAGUUGUUGCGGUUAAAAAGCUCGUAGUUGGAUCUCGGCGGGCAGGGGGUGGUUCGCUCUUAGCGCUACUGCCCCAUUUGCCUGUGUGAUUGGCGGAGGUUUCGGGGUGCUCUUCGUUGAGUGACCCGGGGCGCCGUCAGGUUUACUUUGAAAAAAUUAGAGUGCUCAAAGCAGGCUUUUCACGCUUGAAUAUUCGUGCAUGGAAUAAUGGAAUAGGAACUCGUUUCUAUUUUGUUGGUUUUCGGAAAUCGAGUUAAUGAUUAAUAGGGACAAUUGGGGGCAUUAGUAUUCAGACGACAGAGGUGAAAUUCUUGGACCGUCUGAAGACUAACUACAGCGAAAGCACUUGCCAAGAGUGUUUUCAUUAA
rnacentral:rRNA from 1 species